GGGAAGUGAGAUGGACGUAAAUGAAUUUAAAUCACCUGCAGCUCUGCGCCAAUUUAUACAUUCUGCUGAAUUGUGAUCACGCAACAUUGCUUGGCCUAUCUGUGCUGCAGGGAAUUUGGUGCGCCCAGUAGUCGAAUUGACUAAUGUUCUCGCAAGAAGUAUGUUGUAUUUAAUCAUGGUGGUGGGUGUGCACGUGAGAGGCUUGAGAAAGGGAGUUCAUUCUCCUGAAACGUCGCCUGAAUUAUGGUCGGUGCUCGGAUCUCUUGAGAAGCUCAACUUUCAGCCCGCAGGAGAUUCAAUGAAUCACGACCAGGAAAAGAAAACCUUGGAGAGGCUGGUGAAUUUCUAAAAGUGCCAGACUGAUUUUUGUUACUUUAUCACUGGCUGACUAUCCUGGUUAUAACCAUUCUAUGCCUGUUUUUGUAUGACAGUUGAAGAAUUUAUAGAUAAAGAUUUUGGA